rnacentral:rRNA from 1 species
GUGUCAGCCGCCGCGGUAAUCCCGGCGCCACAAGUAGGGAGCAGGGUUAUUGGGCCUAAAGCGUUCGUAGCAGGUCGUAUAAAUCUCUUGUGAAAUCGUUGGGCUUAACCUAACGGCGUGCAGGAGAGACUGUUCGACUUGAGAUCGGGAGGGGUAGAGAGUAUUCCUUGGGGAGCGGUAAAAUGCUAUAAUCCUUGGAAGACUACCUGUGGCGAAGGCGCUCUACCAGAACGAGUCUGACUGUGAGGGACGAAAGCUAGGGGAGCAAUCCGGAUUAGAAACCCGCGUAGUCC